CGGGACGGGUGAGUAAUGUCUGGGAAACUGCCUGAUGGAGGGGGAUAACUACUGGAAACGGUAGCUAAUACCGCAUAACGUCGCAAGACCAAAGAGGGGGACCUUCGGGCCUCUUGCCAUCGGAUGUGCCCAGAUGGGAUUAGCUAGUAGGUGGGGUAACGGCUCACCUAGGCGACGAUCCCUAGCUGGUCUGAGAGGAUGACCAGCCACACUGGAACUGAGACACGGUCCA
rnacentral:rRNA from 1 species